rnacentral:lncRNA from 1 species
AAAGAGAGAUAUUGGCUCUAGAAGAUUGACAUCAAGAUUGGAGAAGGAGGCUGGCCAAUACCCGAGCACAUUUUUGAGGUUAUCGUCAAUUUGGUAACUCCGAUCCUUUUCAAUUUUUUUGUGCUUGUUUUGAACUUAGUUAUUAAGAAGUGUGCAAAAUUUGAAUUAAGAUCAAUGGUUUAUUCAUUAGUUAUUGAGGUUUAAAUAUGUUAUAAGAAUUACUAGGGUUUGGUUUUGUCAGGGACAAGAACUCGAUGAAAGCUAAAGAGUAAGUGAGACUUUUCUCAAAAAGAAAUAGGACAAAAUAGGAAUAUGUAUAUUAAGAAAGAAACUGGAAUGGCUAUUGCCAAAAUACAAGAAAACUAGAGACCCUUGAAAUUAGACUAGAAGCAAGAAAGGAGUUGACAAGAGUGAAGAGGGCUUCACUCUUGCCUCUAUAUAUACUAUCUAACUAGAAGCCACGUGGCGAUGUUCUAUAAGACCUCCAAUAUAUGUUGACUUUCUAGGCCACAUGCCUUUGCUUGCAAGGCAAGUUUUCUAUGGAUAGACCACGUAGUUAGCUUGUUCUUUAAGCUUCCAACAUGCGUGGCACAUGGCUAACUUGUUGACCAAGUUUCUAACCUAAAAGUCAACUAUAGACUCUUAUAAAGUCAAAGCAGCAUCUAUGAAGCUUCUAAGAAGCUUCUCUAGAGGAUAUUACACAAUUAACCUACUUUUACAUACUUUUAUCUAUUCAUAUGGGUAAUUAUAUGUAUGUCCGUGACAUUACCCCCCCUUCUAGGGACGAGUUCCACGAGGAGCGGUGAUUAUAUAUUGAGAAAAUCUAAUAUGCGGCGAAUUGUAUUUGCUACAUACUCUGAUCUUUGUUCUCUUCGAAGAUAGUUGAUGGGUCCUCUUAGCCAUCGAUAGUGUCCCAUUCCAGGGCGAGAAGACCACCCUGUUAUUUGAUCACUAUUGAGGCCUUCAUAACUUCCUUCAAAUAAUACAUUUGAAAGACCAUCAGGAGUCGUUCCUAUCUCCAAUAAUAUCACCAAACAUCGAGAAUCUCUUCCAAGGUCGUGAUACCAAACGCGUUGUAUCUCACCAUCUAUUCAAGGAAGAACAUGUCGUUCUUGAGGGUCUUCAUUUCGGUUGCGUCGUCUUGAAGGUUGUGACAAUCGCAAUGUCUCAUCCGGUAAGUCAGCAAACGAAGGUUCUUGAGUUGAAUCCGCUGGUUGUUGGCUCUCCAUCUAAUUAGCGUCACAAAAUGGAAAGAAGUUACAAACAAGGAUAGGAAAUUGAAUGUUAUCUUGCCUCAAUCUUGUCUCUUUUAUAAGAGAGGUUUUCAUCUUGGUUUUGAUGGAUGUCGUUGAUGAAAAACUUUGACUUUAGCUGAUGCAUUUGCUAGAUUCCUGGAUGGCUCCCAUGUGCGCUCACUAAUAUCAUAUCCGCACCAAUGAACAAGAUAUUCCAGCUUAUUUCGGCGCUGCCUUGAGUCUAAUAUCUCUUCCACCUCAAAUUCUUCAUUAUUAUCUACUUCUAUAGGAGGCGGUGGCAUUUGUCUUCUUCCUUGUAUAUCCACUGUCUUAUAUGGUUCAAGAAGAGACACGUGGAAUACAGGAUGGAUCUUCAUUGACUCCGGUAGAUGUAACCGAUAUGCAACUGGGUUGAUCUGUUCAGAAACAGAAAAGGGGCCAAGCCUACGAUAGUCCAAUUUGUCACAAGGUCGAGUGGUCUUGAUAUUGCGACGAAGUAGCCAUACCUUAUCACCCACAUUGAGUUGUGGUUGCUCUUUACGAUAUACAUCUGCAUUUAUCUUUUGUCGUUCUUGAGCUUUCUUCAACUGCGCCUUCAUUAUUGCAUGUAACUCUGACAACCGAUUUGCCAUAUCUUCUGCUGCAGGAUUAUCAACUUUUGAAAAAUCAAAAGUAUCAAGUCGUGGAUGAUAGCCAUAAUUGGUAAAGAAAGGUGUUUGUUGCGUGGAGGAAUGUACCGUAUUAUUAUAAGCAAACUCUGCCAAUGGCAGAAGGUUUGUCCAAUCAUCUUGUUGGUAGUUGAUGGUACACCUUAAAUACUAUUCCAAGACUUGGUUUACGCGCUCUGUUUGUCCAUCAGUUUGAGGAUGGAAAGCUGAAGAUAGCUUUAUGUCCACUUUUAAAAUCUUGAAAAGAGUCCUCCAGAAUCUCGACACAAAUUGAGUUCCCCUAUCCGAUAUGAUAUCUUUAGGUAAUCCAUGAUAGCGAUAGAUAUUAUCAAUGAAAAGCUUAGCUGUUUCUUCACCUGUGAUAGAUUUUGUACAUGGCAUAAAAUGUGCCAUCUUGGUGAAACGAUCUACUAUCACAAAUAUAGAAUCAUAAGAUCUUGAGUUUGGAAGAUCUGUGAUGAAAUCCAUAGAAACAGAAGACCAUGGUUGUUCUGGUAUAGGUAAUGGCUGAAGAAGUCCGUAAGGUCGAUGUCGAGGAAUUUUUGAUCUUGAACAAAUAUCACAUGAUUGUACAAAGUCUUUGACUGACUUCCACAUUUGUGACCACCAAAAAUCUCUUGAUAUGAGUUCCAAAGUCUUAUUAUAUCCAAAGUGCCCUGCUGCUGGAAAGUCAUGACGUGCUUGAAGAACACGCAAACGUGCUUUUCCUUCUGGAACAUAUAGGCGUCGUUCAAAAUAUAAUAGAUUAUUCUUGAACUCGAACUUAGAAGAAUCAUGAGACUUGGAAGAAUUAUUUUCAAUAUCAUAAACAAGAGGGUCUGAGGACAUACUGGACUGGAUUUGCUUGAGAAAAGUUGAAUCAACAAUCAAUGUUGAUUUCACUGCUCGGAGAUGAAAUUGCUCCGGUUUCAAGAGGACCGUUCUUUGUUGCUCAAAAGCUGCAUCUCCUCUUUUUGGUGCAAAAUAAGAACGUCUAGACAGGGCAUCGGACAAACCUUGUUGUUUUCCUGGCCGAUAAGUGAUAAUGAAGUCGAAUCUUGACAAAGACAUACUCCAACGAGCUUGACGACGAUUCAACACGCGUGUUGACAUGAAAUACUCGAGGUUCUUGUGAUCUGUAUACACAGUGACUGGACUAGAAGCACCUUCUAGAUAAUGACGCCAUUCUUGAAAGGAAUCCACGAUUGCAAGAAGUUCUUUAUCGUGGAUCUCAUAAUUGAUCUCGGCUGCUGAGAAUUUUCUUGAAUGAAAAGCUAUCGGAUGAAGUUUGUCAUUUGUUCCCAUUUGUGAUAAAACUGCACCCAAGGCAAAAUCCGAUGCGUCUGUUUCCAUAAAAAAUGCCUUGGAAAAGUCAACACGAUAUAAGACUGGUGCAGAGACAAACGAUGUCUUCAAGGCUUCAAAUGCUGCUUCCGCUUCUUGAUUCCAUUGGAAUUUAUCUUUACUAGUCAAGCGUGUAAGUGGAGCUGCAACUCGUGAGAAGUCUUUGAUGAAGAUCCGAUAGUAAUUGACAAAUCCCAAGAAACAUUGGACAUCUCUUACAGUCUUUGGAAUCUUCCAAUCCAUGAUUGUUUGGACUUUCUUAGAAUCCAUCAUAAGACCAUCAUUUGAAAUGAUGUAUCUUAAAAAGUCAACUUGAGUAGUAUGAAAUACACACUUUUCCAUCUUGGCGUACAAUCCUGCAUCUCUGAGUUUUUGUAAUACUUGACGAACAUGUAUUUCAUGUUCUUCAACAUUCUUAGAAUAAAUCAGGAUAUCAUCUAGGUAGCAGACGACAAAAUUGUCUAAGAAUUCACGAAAUACAUCAUUCAUGAGAUGUUGAAAAGCAGCUGGUGCAUUCGUGAGUCCAAAAGGCAUGACAUUAUAUUCAAAAUGCCCGUACCUGGUUCGAAACGCAGUCUUCCAUUCAUCUCCUUCUUUGAUCCGUACUAGAUUAUAUGCCCCUCUUAGAUCUAUUUUUGUAUAGAUCUUAGCUUGAUUUAACUGGUCAAGGAGUCCUGAUAUCAAAGGUAAUGGAUACCUGUUCUUGAUUGUGAUCUUGUUGAGUCCUCGAUAGUCAACACACAUUCGUAAAGAUCCAUCUUUUUUCUUUACGAAUAAAAUUGGAGCUCCUGCUGGAGAUUUUGAAUGGCGUAUGAAAUUCUUCGCUAAAUUCUCGUCAAUAUAUGUCUUGAGUUCAGCCAACUCAUCUUGCGAUAAACUGUAAAUUGGUCCAAAUGGUGGCUGAGUUCCUUCCUUGAGAUCGAUUGAACAAUCGUAUGGGCGAUGCUCAGGAAGAAUAUCUGCAUUCUUUUUCUCAAAAACGUCUUGAUAAUCCUGAUAUUGACUUGGAAUGCCACUUGAAGUCUUUACGCUUUCAGAAAUAGGUGCAGCAUAAAUAGCAAAAGUUGAUCCUUCUUUUGCUGCGUGUAUAAAUGCUUUUGCACCUAUAAGUGCGGGUUUUACUAUACUAGACUCAUGGUUUUUUACUUGAUUAAUAGAACUGUUACUAAUGCUCCGAGGAAAAUCAAGUUUACGAGAAGUCCAAUCUAUUCGAGGAUUAUACUUUUCUAACCAUGAUAAGCCUAAAAUUACUGGAUUAGAGGGAGACCUAAUUAUAUUAAAAAUUAUGCAACUACUAUGACCAUUUAUUACUACAUCUACAGGAAGUGUUUCGUGAGUUACAUCUCCAGAAGACAAUGGACGACCAUCUAUGACUUCUACGUGUACAAGUUUAGUUUUUUGUAUUAAUGAUAUUCUAUGACAUCUAGCAAAUUCUUCAUCUAAGAAACAAGCUGAGGCUCCUGAAUCUAUCAAGGCAGAGGCUUUGUAAUUAUUAGGUCCUAAACGCACAUCUAUUAUAAAACAAGGAGAUGGUUCUGAGGAGAGGAUAGGACCUUCAUUAGAAGUUGUACAAGAUUCCAGCCGCACGGUCCCUAUUGUAGCUGGACGUACUCGUUUUCCGACAUACUGUCUUCUUUGAUAGCCGUACUCCUCAUUUUGUAGUUACGUCGCUUCUUUGGACAAUGUUGAGCAGUGUGCUUAGGUUCUCCACAAUAUAAGCACAAUCCUUCUUGUCGACGACGAGACUUUUCUCGCUCAGUAAGAGGUUUGAAACGUACCGCAUCAAUUUGCAUAUCCUCUACUUCUGAAGGUAUGUGUUGAGGAGACGUCGGUGUUGCCAUUGAAUUGUAGUAACGUUGAGGCCUACUUGUGCGACUCUCGGAUCGAAAUUCAAAAAGUCGAUUGUCGCACUUCACAGCAAAGUCAAUUGCUUGACUCAAUGUUUGAGGAUCAGGUAAAUUAAGCAUCAAUUUCUUUACCUCAUAUUGUAAUCCGUAGAGAAAUUGACUCACAAGUGCGGCAUCAUCCCACUUGAUAUCAGUUGCAAGUUGUCGAAAUUGCGAAGCAUAUAAUGUUACUGAUCGAUUGCCUUGUCGCAAAAUACGGAUCUUGUUGGUUGCAACACGAAUUGCAUCAUGUUCUCCAAACAUGGAUCGAAACUCCGCCAAAAAAGCCUCCAGAUUAUCCAAUAUUGGAUCUCGUCGUUCAAGAAAAGAUGAAAACCAUGACAAUGCUGAACCUGAAAGAAGUGUACCAAUGAAUCUUACUUGUGACCCUGGAGUUGGAUAGCUCUGGGGUUGAAGUUCAAUCACUAGUUGGACCUGAUUGAUGAAUCCUCGAAACUUGGAUCUGGUACCAUCAAACUUCUCGGACAAGGCAACUCUCGGUUCUCUAACACUCGAAGGGUGUUCCAUUCUGGGAGAAGGGACAUGGUUUGGUGCAGAUGUUGAAGCAGCCCCAAUCAUCUCUAUAUCUUCACUUCCUACCAUUCUUGUUGCUCCUUGUGGUGGUAAAUUGAGUUGAUGCAUCGCAAGCAUUAACUCCCUCAAUUGUUCUUGCAUCUGUGCCAUUGCACUCUUCAUUUCAACAAGCUCUUCCAUAGUAGCACUUAGAAAAGAGAAGAUGUCUAACAACGCUCAAAACAAAUAGAAAGAGAGGAAUUGAUAACAAAGAAAAUACUAAGAACAAUAUCAGUUUAAAAGAGGGUAAUCAGCAACUUCUAAUGCGCUUAUGUCUUAUCAAGAAAAAGGGGUAAUCCACUCUUAAUCAAGAAAAGACAAAGCUCUGAUAUUGUAAGUGUACUCUUGUCAAUCUGUCAGGGACAAGAACUCGAUGAAAGCUAAAGAGUAAGUGAGACUUUUCUCAAAAAGAAAUAGGACAAAAUAGGAAUAUGUAUAUUAAGAAAGAAACUGGAAUGGCUAUUGCCAAAAUACAAGAAAACUAGAGACCCUUGAAACUAGACUAGAAGCAAGAAAGGAGUUGACAAGAGUGAAGAGGGCUUCACUCUUGCCUCUAUAUAUACUAUCUAACUAGAAGCCACGUGGCGAUGUUCUAUAAGACCUUCAAUAUAUGUUGACUUUCUAGGCCACAUGCCUUUGCUUGCAAGGCAAGUUUUCUAUGGAUAGACCACGUAGUUAGCUUGUUCUUUAAGCUUCCAACAUGCGUGGCACAUGGCUAACUUGUUGACCAAGUUUCUAACCUAAAAGUCAACUAUAGACUCCUAUAAAGUCAAAGCAGCGUCUAUGAAGCUUCUAAGAAGCUUCUCUAGAGGAUAUUACACAAUUAACCUACUUUUACAUACUUUUAUCUAUUCAUAUAAGUAAUUAUAUGUAUGUCCGUGACAGGUUUAGGGUUUGGUUAGGAUUUGGUUAGGAUUUGGUUUAGGGUUUGAUUUAAGGUUUAUUUAGGGUUUAGGAUUUUAUUAGGAUUUAAGAUUUUAUUAGUUUUGGCCUAAAGUUUGAAUGAAGUUCAAUAGGAUUUUAACUGGAAUUAAAUUAAGAUUGAAUUGAGAUGCAUUUGAGUGAUAUUUGUGAUCCUUCUAAUAUUUUUUUAAGAAUUCUUAUUGUUUGUUUGAAAUUUCUUUGAGGUUUUUUUAAAUUUGAUUAAUCUUGUUUAGCAUUAUUAUGGUUUAAUUAGAGUAUUGUUAG